GGAUUACCCGCUGAGUUUAAGCAUAUCAAUAA
rnacentral:rRNA from 1 species